rnacentral:rRNA from 1 species
UAGCGGGAGGCCUAAUACAUGCAAGUCGAGCGGUAGAGUGACUUCGGUUUGCUUGAGAGCGGCGAACGGGUGAGUAACGCGUACACAAUCUACCUUUAAGAGGGGAAUAGCCCUGGGAAACUGGGAUUAAUGCCCCAUGGCAUCACGAGACGGCAUCGUUUUGUGAUUAAAGCUGAGGUGCUUGAGAUGAGUGUGCGUCUGAUUAGCUAGUUGGUGCGGUAACGGCGCACCAAGGCGACGAUCAGUAGGGGGCGUGAGAGCGUGGACCCCCACACGGGUACUGAGACACGGAUCCGACUCCUACGGGAGGCAGCAGUAAGGAAUAUUGGUCAAUGGAGGAAACUCUGAACCAGCCAUCCCGCGUGCAGGAAGAAUGCCCUAUGGGUUGUAAACUGCUUUUAUCUGGGAAGAAAAGUCGGGAUUUAUCCUGAUCUGACGGUACCAGAGGAAUAAGCACCGGCUAACUCCGUG